GAGAGGUCCCCUCUUCACUGCUCUCCCCUGGAAGCCCCAGCUGCUGCUUCACUGUGCGGUUACACGAGCUUCCUGCUCGUCUGCGCGCUGGAAUGGCGGCGCGUGCGGACGCGGAGAUGGUUCGGGUUUUUCACGUCAAAGAAAGAAGAAGCGCAGGAGCGGACGGAGACACGGAAAACACGGGAGGAGACACUAAAAAGACAGAAGAAACAUGAGAUCGUUCGCUUUUGCCGUGGAAAGAAGAAGAGGAAAAAAAGGCCGCGCCGUGUUUUUUCGAAAGAGGAGCGAGACAGUGAGAGGACAAGAUUUGUGAGGGGGGGGUGGGGAAGCUUGAAAACGCCACGGAUUCCCCGAGAAACUGCGCUUUUAUUCGGUGCGUAAUGACACGACGCGCUGUUUCACGGGAGGAGGAGGAGGAGGAGGAGGGGGGAGGUUGUUGAACGUGUACCGGCGAAUACCGUGGACGGUUUCAUACUCACACACUACAACAACCGACGCGGGAGCAGAGACGACAGCCCCAGUGCGCGCAAAGCGACGCACACGGCACCGCCUUCCCCUCCUCCCCCCUCUCUGAGAGGGAGGUGUCUGCUGCAGGGCGCCAUUUUUCAAACGCCUUCUUUUGCAUUUCUAGAUUUAUUUUUGCUGCAGGAGAAACUGAGCGCGUGUCAUGUUUCACUCCACGAAAACCCAAAAGAAGACGGAACGAAAAAAAAAGAAACUAAUCAAAACAUGGACUUCUUCAAUUUUCCCACCAUUUCUGGUCAGAUAUUUACAUUUUCUGUGCAAAGGCUUCAGGAAUAAUAAUGAAAACAGUGAGAUGACAGAGUGAAUACAGGAGCCUGUCUGCUGCUGCACAUAAUUACACACAGUCAAACUACAGUGUGUUCACUUUGAAGACGAGGCUUUUUUUUUUUACUUCAUGUAAUCAUCACCGCGUGUUCAUUACAGCACAAACACAUUAGCUUUAUUAUCUGUAUUAUCUUAUUCUCCGUUUGGCUUUUUUUCUCCAUUGAAAUUGAGGAUUUUUUAUUAUUAUUAUUAUUUUUCGGUUCAUCUUCACUUCAACAACAAUUCUCUCUAUAAUGGAGAACAGCUGCGUGUUUGUGUUCUGUUGCGUUUGGUGGAAAUUUAGUGGAAAACAAAAACUGUAAAGCUGCUGCGUGCGCGUGCAUGCAUGCGUGCGUGGGAAGGAGGCAUUUUUCUGUCUCUCUCUCCCUUUCCACACUGGUGAAGUUAAUUCAGCAGGACGGGGCAGAUUUUCUUUUUCUUUUUUCUGUGGCAGAAACGAUGAGGCGAUAAUGGCAAUAAUAACAAUAACAAGACACAUACGCGCACGAGCCGCACACACAAAUAUGAGCGUUAUAUACCAGCAACACGAAGGGGCACGAGCACGCGCGUGGACGGUUACUGUAUCUAUCUGUUUAAUUUAUUUCAUUUCAAAUGUGUGUGCUUUUGAUACUUAAAAGCUAAAUUGUGAUAAUAAUUAAAUGAAAUAAAUAAUUUGGAUUCUAGUUGCAUUCUAAAGUGAUUUUAUGUUUAAUAAAUGUAAAAUAUGGGCAACACAAAAGGGUUAAAAGACUUAUAUAAUAAAAUAAGUAAAUAAAAAUGUGUAUAUAUUGUAAGACCUUUAAAAAAAUAGUUAAAAUAGUUAAAAUGUUAACUUGAAUUUUUAACUUAAACUUUACUUAACUUAAAAUAAUGUGUUUAAACACAGUUUAUUCAGAAUAUUUGGACUGUUCCGUUGAAUGACUGAAUGAUUUAAAAUAUGGACCAAAUAUUGACCAAAAAAAGAAAAAAAAGAAAUCGAAAAAUAUUUUAAAACCUUUAAGAAAAUUGUGUAUUUUUGAGAAACGUAAAUU